UUUAGAUUGGGGAAAGCUAAAUCUCGUCUUCCAUCUCGUCCGACCAGACUGCACGGUGCGCGGCGCCUCUCCACAGUGUGUGCGUACCCUCCUCUCUUUGCUGUAGGCGUCUCAUCGGAGUGGGCAGAGGUUGUGCGGCCAUCCCAUCGACACCUACCGCCCUCGCCCCAGUCCUGUGACAGUCACCGAGAUAAGUACCUCCCCGGUUCCCUUCCCUCCACUGCCUCUCACCUCCCUCCAUUGCCUCAUCCAUCUUGCCUUAACUCCAAACCCUAGCAACAACUCUGAUUUGCUCUAUGAUUUCCUCUGGUUCCAUCGCCUUCCCAGACCAGAACAUUGAGAUUUGCACCGCAGUAGCGUCAGGUGACCAGGGAGGGUAAGGGUUAAAUAGGAGCUGCCGAAUUUAAGCCUUUCAAGGUUUAGCUGAGCAGUGCAGAAAAAAGAUGACCCCUUGCUGAAUAAGUUUUUUUCUCCCUUCAAUGACGCAGUUUCUACCUUCUUCUUUCUUUUUUUACCCUUGCAGAUGCUCUAUUCUUACCUUAGUCAGGUUCAUGACUGUUGUGUGGUGCUUUUAUAUGUUUGACUCAUAUUGCAUCAUGUUUUUUUUAUAUCAGUUGGUUUGGAAAAUUUGCUCUUUAUUAAAAAUCAAGUUCCUAUGAUCCUAUCUAUGGCAUAAUUAUCUGGAUACCUCACCUUAACAAGUCGUACCUAGAGUUUGGCAUGAAAGUUCUACUUAGUUUAGCGUAGCAGAUCUCUAUUAUAAAGGGACUUUAACCAUAUUUUUGGAAAAGGAAACGAGACUCAAAUGCAGCUAGGCUACUCUUUAUGUAAAGUAUAUGUAUGUUCAGUAGGGUUCCAUAUAGUUAUUGUGCUUUUUGCUGGUUACUCUUUUUUUUCUUGCAAUAUGUAUGCCAUUGGCAUCUAAUUAGUCUCGCCCAUAACUGUUUCUAGAUGAUUCAAAAUUCAAACAUGUAUAUAUGUAUAUAUAUGUUCUGUA